CCACAGAAUAGAUAAUAGGACCAGAAGUCUCACUCAAGCGGAAACAUGUCCCAUCUUUUAUACUGCGCAUGCGCGAGCUAAACAAGUGUAAUGCAGUGUUGACAAUAGAAAAUUAUAUUGGGAAGUUGUCAUUUUUACAGUAAAAACAGCUUUUUUUCAAGUAGUACGAAAUGUGACUUCGAUUUAUCUGUGGAACUAUUUGAACAGAAGGUAAAGCAGUAAUUUUGUUGUAUUUAGAAAGCAAACAGGGUCAUAUUUUUAAAAAUAUAGCGCACUGAAUAUAAAUUCGAGCAUCAUUAAAAUGUGUUCGCUAUGAUGCCAUUUUGUCUCCGGUAUAUACGGAGUUCUGCUUUUAUACUUGUGGAUAUUCGAAUUUAUUUGGCUCAAAAACACCAUUACUUCAAUAUCCCUUUCUUGUUUUCCCUUGGAUAGGUUUUAACAAGAUAGAACUCUAGAUCCCUUGGGUCCAAAGACGCUAGAUUAUAAAAUCCUGAUGUGACUUGAUACUACAAAUAGAAUAUGUCUUAUGAUUUAAUACUACAAAUAGAAUGUCUUUUAAGUACAAACUUCAAUGAAUUGAUAAAGUGUAAGGAUAGUGUUUAAAGUCGCUUCAUGUGUAGAAGCUGAAUUACUUUAGUUUAUACACUGUAUUGUCGAGAUCACAUGUUGAUAUGACUUACUAGCAACUUGCAAUAAGUGGUCUGUUCUGCUUGUUUAUAAUACUUUAGAGUUUGGACAUUAGAACAUUGUAAUUGCCUGACAGAGACUGUUAGGGCCUGUUUGUAUGGAAGCCAGGUUGGCCCGCUUAGUGAGACAGCCCGGUAAGGUAGGUAAGCAGGAUGAUUUCUCUUGUGUUUAUUUGAGAAAAUUUCAUCCCGCUUACCGGGACAAUUUUGUUGUUUUGACAUUAUUUUGACAGUUGUUAAAAAUAGCUUGCAGCAGUAUCUUUGAACUUUCAUCCCGGCAACCGGGCUAGCCUGCUUAUGAUUGUUUAUGUGGAGAAAUUUCCAUCCUGAUCUUGGCAACCGGGCCUGCCCGCUUGUCCAUAGAAAUAAUUUUUACUAUAAAAAUAACUAGACAGCGAGAUCUCACUUACCGGGCUGUCUCACUUAGCGGGCCAGCCAGUUUCGAUAUAAACAGGCCCUUAGACAACUGCUAAAAGCUGCAAGUUUCUUUAAAGCAAUAUCAUGUAUAUCACAGAAUACAGUUUCUGUAGUGACAUACUUUGUGUUUUUUCUGUCUUUAAAGUGUCUUAUGUUUGUAAUAUUUUUGUACAAUACCUUUUUGAAAUUGUUGAUACUGGUCUCAUUGUAACUCAGUUAUUCCUUCUCAAGAAAAAUAAAAAACAAAGCUGUGUGGGUGUGUUUUUGCUCUAGCUAGUUUUUACAUUUACAUGGUUCAUGUACAAUUAAUGUACAUUUAAAUUAGCUUUGUUCAAUGAAUACAGGUGUGAUUCAAAUAUCAUUCCUGUCAGGUACUUGGGUCAAAUAGACAUAAGCAUACCAAAUCAUGCUGUGAAUUGAAAUACAAGUAUAGGGGGUGUAUUGUUUAAUAAAUAUAUUUUCCAGUUAACCCAGUAAGCUGCAUUGUGCCCCAAUGCACCCUACUUUACUAGUUUAUUUCACUUCAUCUAAUGCCAGAUGAUUUUACUUAUCGAGGGAGAGUGCUGCUGCUCAUUGAGCUCUGAUUGAGUUCACUGAAUGGCAGCACUUUCCCCUUGACGAGUGAAAUUGUCUGGCGUUAGACAGAGUAAAAUAAUCUUGCGUUCACUAAAGUAGCUACUUUUUCAAAAGCUCAACCAGGCUAAAGAUUCUUUGAUUUGAAAACCAAAGUGAUAGUGAACUAGUUAGUUGAAACAAACAGAAUUGUUUGAUUUAUUUACUUUCCACAACAUUGACAAUUAAAAUUUAAUUUGAUACUUUUCCAGUAUAUUGACAUUAUAUAGGUUCAGAUUUGACUACCAUUACCAUUAAGGGACCAUCAACCAAUCAAAUGCAUUUGAUAUAUUCGAUCAACCAUUAUAAUGAAAGUGUGAGUUUAUUCAUAAACUAAUUAUAAAUCAACUUCCAUGCAAUGCUUCAUACAAUCAUCUAGUUAUGCACCAGUCAAUGUAAAUCCCUGCCCCCAACCGGGGAGGGGCGGGAGGUUUAGCGGGGAAAGUGGUCAGUUUUGAUUAUAAAUUUGUCCCCGAUGAUGGGAGACUUGGACGGUGGUUAGGGACCGGUCAUUAAAUAUGGCAAGGGGGGGAUGGAGGAGAAAGUAUGGGGGUCCUGAAUUAUUUUUUCAUUGAGAUGGGGGGGGGGGUCUUGAAAAUUACAUUAUGUGAAAGAGGGGGUCUUCAGAUUUUUCCCAACAAAAGGAUUGUUUCUCGUUAUAUACAAUGAACAGCCAAGAGAUGCAUAAAAUGCCCUUUAAACUGGAACACUGGGUAUUAACAUAACGAGUAAAGCAUAAAAAACAUAAUAUAAAAUAGAAUUAUUCAAAUGUUUAUCAAUCAUUAGUAUUAUAGCUCAUUAAUUAACUUGAUAUUAUACUUGAUAUUGAGUACGUAUAUAGUGUUCAGUGGAUGUAGGCGAGACAAGCAUAGGCAAUAGAGUAACCUACCUAAAUAGAUUGUAAAAUAUUUAUUUAACUAGUUUCAUCAAAUUUUAUACCUCUUUUAAUACUCUUCAUUGAUCACUUGCUCUCCUAAGUUUGUCCUAAUCGGGCCAGCCAUCAAUACAAAACUAUAUUUUCAAGCGGUACAAGAGGGGGGGGGGUCUUUAAAAAGUAUAAAAUGCAUAAGGGGGGCCUUGAAAAGGCAUAUAAUUUUUGAGGGGGGUCCCAAAAUUUUUUUCAAAAUUUCUAGUUUCUCCUCCAUCC
rnacentral:lncRNA from 1 species